rnacentral:rRNA from 1 species
GGGCUUAAUGUCUUGAAAUUGGAAUGAUGGGAAUUUAAACCUCUUCCAGAGUAUCAAUUGGAGGGCAAGUCUGGUGCCAGCAGCCGCGGUAAUUCCAGCUCCAAUAGCGUAUAUUAAAAUUGUUGCAGUUAAAAAGCUCGUAGUUGAAUUUCUGCUGCAUUGCUUUUGCUCCUUUACGAGUCUUUGCAUUGUGGCUUAUUUCGGACUUUGUUUUACAAUGUCCGGAUGUUUACUUUGAGAAAAUUAGAGUGCUCAAAGCAGGCUUUCGCCUUGAAUAGUUUAGCAUGGAAUAAUAAAGUAGGACUUUGGUUCUAUUUUGUUGGUUUUAGGUACCAAAGUAAUGGUUAAUAGGAACAGUUGGG